AUGCCACCUUGUCGUGGUGACAUCCCAAGGUUGCCUUGGUGCACGGAAGGCCUCAGGGUCAGAGCAGCUCUUGGGCUUGCUCAGUGCAGGAGCAUCCUCCUGCUUGAGGCGUUUGUCAGUGGGCAGCUGCACACUGACAGGAGCCUUGUUUGUUCUUGUGGUGGAGCAGAGUGUGCAAACUGGCACAGCAGUGCUACAAUGAUGGAGCAGCUCGCUGUUGCCGUUUGCACCAUUUAUGUCAUCGGCUACUCCGGCUAUUACCUCACCAACCUGGCACGUCAUCUGAGCCGUGUGUUCAGAGGUGCCGAUCCUGAGAGCCCAGAAGCAAGAGCAGACUCUGCUGUGGCUCCCUCUGCUCCUGGAGAAGAGGCCAAAGAGGAGCAAAAUGAGCAAAAGGAGCACGAGCCUCCAGCUGUGGUCACAGCCCAGCCUGACCAUGCCCAGACAGUAAGUGCCAGUGCUGGGUGCUGCUGUCUUUAGUGCAAGGCAGAGCUGCAAGUUUCUGAGCAGCCAGCACUUGCUGUUGCUGGCUGAGGAUGCUGAGUGCUGGAGUCCUGCCAGCACCCAGCCAUUCCCCCAUCCCGUGGCAGCUGGAAAUUGGGCUUUGAGCCGUCGUGCUGAGGCCCCAAAGCGCUGCUGCCUGCGGGUGAGCAGCUGGCUGCUUGGCUCAGGGAAGCUCUGUCUCUUGGCUUCUGCCAAGCCAUGGCCAAGGGCUCACACGGCAUUUCUGGGGCUCACAGGGCUUGCUUUGUUUGCUGUCCCUUUUUGGAAACCUCUGGAUGACCUGGAGAAGUGUUCUGCAGUUUUCUGGAGUAAUUCUUCACUUCUGCAGAGUCUUUUAGGCCACCUGUCUUUUGGCUUUUGAUAAGCUGCAAGGAGAUGAUUGUGUUGUCCAUGAAGCUGUGGCCGGCCAUUCUUGUCCUGUGUGGCCAAAGAAACAAACUGUGUAGUUCUGAACCCUUCUUCUGAGGCAAAAUCCACAAGUGGCAAGUUUCUCUUGAUACGUUUUGUGGUGAAGUCUGCAGCUUUGGAAACUGCAUUGGAGCCUAGUGUGGGGGCAAAGCUGCAAGUCCUUGAGUGCUGUCUUGUGUUGCUAAGAACCCCUUUAGAGAUGGUUGUUUUUUCUCCUCAGAGCUGUUUUCCUCCUCCUGCCUCUUCUGUCCUGACACUCCCUGUUUAACCUAUAAAUUUCUGCCUGUCCUAGUGAGGUGGGACAAUUCCAUGGUUUAGGUGGUUUUUGGUGACUUUGGUCAUACAUGCAUUACAUGACCCAUGGCUUCCUUCAUUGGCAUCCCUAGGGGUGUGUCAAUUAAUUUGUUGGUGGGGCCUUUUGAGGAUCUCUGUCAGUGCCACUCAGAAUUCUCAGCUGACAAAAGAGGGAGGAGAAACACCUUGGUCCUCUUCCAUAUCCUGAGGUGGCCAUAGAGGCUCUCUGACCUGCAGCAGAGGAUCAAAUUGCACACAUCCUUGUCUCCUGAAU
ensembl:lncRNA